rnacentral:rRNA from 1 species
UACGGAGGGGGCUAGCGUUGUUCGGAAUUACUGGGCGUAAAGCGCACGUAGGCGGCUUUGCAAGUUAGAGGUGAAAGCCCGGGGCUCAACUCCGGAAUUGCCUUUAAAACUGCAUCGCUAGAAUUGUGGAGAGGUAAGUGGAAUUCCGAGUGUAGAGGUGAAAUUCGUAGAGUAUUACGGAAGAACACCAGUGGCGAAGGCGACUUACUGGACACAUAUUGACGCUGAGGUGCGAAAGCGUGGGGAGCAAACAGGAUUAAGAUACCCCGUGACGUC